rnacentral:misc_RNA from 1 species
GGCCAUUGUUCGCUGGCGUGCACACCGGCAAGGGGGACUGAAACACCUGGCCAGCUGUCGCGCGUGCUUCGCAUGCGUGUUACGUGCGCGACUGCGUCCUCUGCCCCGUCUUUGCCCUUGUUUUUUUUUUGUUUUCUCUUGACUGCUCUCCCACGGUACUCCGCGACUCCCUGCGCCUAGUGCCGCAGCGCAGGCUCAUGAGCAAACACAUGAUUUCUGUGGGCUCACGGUGGGUGCACCACGAGGUGACCCAGGCACUGCGGCAGCGCCGCGGCGUGCGUGUGGAGGUGAACGAGGAGCUGCAGCACUGCGACUUCGCCAGUGGGGCGUCGUCGGUGUUGUACUGUGACGCGCACAGCGCGGAAAUACAGCGCGAUCAAGCAUCGCUGGUGCUCCGCUUGCAGGAGGCGCGCCAGCGAUGUGGGACGCAGCCAGUGAUUCUCAUGGUUCGCAUGGAUAGUGGUGUCGAAGUCUCACUCGAGAGACUCUCGUGGCUGAAUCUGGAGUGCGGAGUGGCGCAGCAGUGCGGACUCAUCCUUGUGUGGUCGCUCGAUGAUGCAGUGCAAUACCUGGCAAGUCUCGCAGCGUCCUCGGUGACGUCCCUAGAGUUCACAGGGGCGGCGCGUCCACAUGUUGGGGACGCGCCACUGGCGGUGCUCGUCGAUGCCCUCACACAAACGCCGCAGGUGGUCACGCGCAACGACGUCGUGCGCAUCGCCAAUCGAAAGACCAGCAUAGCCGAUGCGCUGAUGAGUGAGGCGUCGGAGUGGGAGGGCAUCGCAGGGCUGGGAAGCAAGAAAGCGGCUCGUUUGCAGCACCUCUUUCGCACACCAUUUCUCUCCUCACAGCAACGCAUCGACUCCUUUGUACCGGCUUCCGGCGAGAGCAGUUUCUCCACCGCUUCUAAAGCCGCAGAUUCCCAUCUCCCGCAGCCCACAGGGGAGUCCAUAGCGCGGCUGACAGAGGCCCUUAGCGUCGACACGACCGUAACCACCGAAGGAAGACGUCGCAUGAUGAGCGCACUGCAACGGCGGCUUGACAAGGAAGACGAGGAAGGCGGCGAAUGAGGCAACAUCGGCAAUCAGCGUGCGCGCACCCGACGCGGUCGGCGACGCAUCCGUACUACUCCGUGUUAAAGACUGCUAUUGUAGUUCUUUUCUUCCUGCUCGUAGCUUCCGGUAUGCCGUCGGGUGGAGACGGAGUACAUCACACGUCUAUCACGUGCACCGUCGGAGCUGCUGUGUGUGUGUAUCUGUGUGUGAGCCACCCCCCCCCCUCUCUCCCCUACUUCUCCCCCUCUGUCUUUUGAGAGGGGCUGAUAGACACGCAUCACCACCACAC